rnacentral:tRNA from 1 species
CCUUCGAUAGCUCAGUUGGUAGAGCGGUGGACUGUAGAGUUGACAUUGAAAUCCAUAGGUCGCUGGUUCGAAUCCGGCUCGAAGGA